UCAUAUAAUAUGAGCCAGUAGUAUUGUCCUGUGUAGAUUGAUGUUUAGAUUGUUCAUAUAUUAAUUAAACCAUAAUCCAUGUAUAGCAUCAAGAUGUGCUGCACAACAAUCGUAUGAAAGUGUUCUCGAGAAAAAAAAGAGAGAUUGUUCUCGAAAGAUUAAUAGGGCAAGAAAUCAAUAUUUUGUAACAAGGCGAACAUUCUCAAAUCAGAAGCUUGAGAGGAGUCUACCCAGGUCUCUUGUCAGUUGGUCACAAUAUCACAGUAGGUGAAUAGGACAAGGUCCAUAUUGUUGCGUUGCGUGUCUCAUAAUAUGAAGCAACAUCAGUUGAUGGGAAAUUUUGUAUAGAAAACUGUAUUUAUGCUGAAAAGGAGUAAAGUAGUCUUGGUGGAAACUAUUACAUAAUCUUACUGGUUGUGUUUGAACUCUGAAGGCUAUUUAACGUUGGCAUCGUCCUGUCCUCUCCACAGGCAGAAACACUUCUCAAGGCUCAGCAAGAUAUGGGUGAAACAAUAGGAGCGCUCAGAUUGGCAUUUAUCAAACUAACAAAGUUUGAGAUUGAGGAGGCAAUGUAUGACUUGUAGAGAAUAAGAGCAGCUGACAGGUACGCUGCAUGAUCAUUUGAGCAUAAUGUUGUCUGUCCAUACUGCAUAUUUACUGUAAACACUCAUGUCAGAUCUGGCAUCGUUACAGUCCAGGAUUGAGAAACUUGAACCUGCAGCGUCGAAGAUAUUUGGUGGUGAUGGAGCUAGACUUUGCAGAAUUGAAGAGCUAAGGGAAAAAAAUAAGGGCUACUGAAAAUGCUAAGUUAUGUGCUUUAAGGGAGUAUGAGAGAAUAAAGAUAAUGAAUGUUCCAGAGCAAGAAUUGGGCGACCAUUGCUGCUAUUGUUUAUUCCAUGCUUUCAUUACUAAUCCUUUAACCUCGUAUAACUGUGACCAUCAUUUUGUCCUUCUUAUGCAAAAUCAAUUUCAUGUACUGGCGCAGUAAGCUUUACAUAUUGCUCCCAUCUUGUUGUUUGUGUGAAAAUAGAAACUAUAAUCAGCAAUAGAAAGGACUGGUGUCUUGAUAGCUGGGAGUAAUAUGGUUUUCAGGAGGCUGUAUUUAAAUAGGGGCCUGAAGAUUUAGAAUUGCUUUUGAAGAUAUAUUCUGCAAUAUCCAUAUCCAUUUAUUCAUGUUCUGAGAUAUGCUCCCUUGUAACUUUGGAGCAAACCAUAAGUUAUUUUUAUUUGCCUGCUUGCAUGGGUCAUAUAUCCUUGAUGUUAGGCACCUGGUUGGCAAUUAUAAAAUAGCAGCAGCAAUAGCAGUUCUUCCCUCUAGCUUGCCUUUGUUGUUGUAACUUAUAAAGUAGUUUGGUUUCAAUUAUGUUUUGCACUUUGCUUUUGAUGAAAUCUCACUUUGGUGAGGCAACUGAGAUCUGAUAGAUACCUCAUGUUGUGCUGAUAUAAUGCGCAGGAAAACAACAGAAGUGAACUCCAGAGGCUAGACAGAGAAAGGAAGGAAGAUUUCCUGGGGAUACUAAAAAUAUUUGUUACAAGUCAGCAUGCUAACGGCGCGUCAUUUUUCUAGUUCAAUCUAGAAUAGAAGACAUGCAAAUAUAUAUUAUUUUGUACAGUUAUUCUUUAGUUUCGUAGAUAUAUUUUAUGCCAUCUAUUAGAUCACUUCUCUUUGUACUCAACACAAUUUUGGGGAAUGUUUUGUAGAUCAUUGUGGUAGGAUGCAUGGGGUGUAUUGUAUAUAUGAAAUGUAGUCGUCGAAACUCUUCUCUGACUUUCAUAUCGGCCAAAUCAGUUUCAACUUGGAUGAUAUUUGAA